AUGAAGUGGUGGAAGCUCAAGGGGGAGGUAGCUCAGGCGUUCAAGGAGAGGGUCAUUAAGGAGGGCCCUUGGGAGGAAGGAGAGGAUGCGGACAAUGUGUGGAUGAAGAUGGCGACUUGCAUUCGUAAGGUGGCCUCGGAGGAGUUUGGAGUGUCUAGGGGAAGGAGAAGCGAAGAUAAGGAUACCUGGUGGUGGAAUGAUGAUGUCCAGAAGGCGAUUAAAGAGAAGAAAGAUUGCUUCGGACGCCAAUACCUGGAUAGGAGUGCAGACAACAUAGAGAAGUACAAGAUGGCGAAGAAGGCCGCAAAGCGAGCUGUUGAUGAAGCAAGGGGUCGGGCAUAUGAGGACCUCUACCAACGGUUAGGCACGAAGGAAGGCGAAAGGGACAUCUAUAAGAUGACCAAGAUCUGA
rnacentral:rRNA from 1 species